AAUAUAUUUUCAUUUCAUUUUCUUUUAUCAUCAUAUUCAUAUAAGACUCAAGACUAUAGAUGUUAUGCCUUAGAACUCUUUGGAUAUCUUCCCAAUAUGAAUAGGAUUCAGCAUUUGGGCUUAGAAACUGAUUUUAAAGGCGUUAAAGUUAUGACAUUUAAGGUUAUGACUUGUCAUUCAAGGUAUAUAACCUUCGGGUUUUCCAACAAGGACUUUACUUAUUAAACUUACUCUUCAAUAAAAUUACAAAGUUUUAAAAAGUUUGAGUUAACGAUCUCAAAUUAGCAGUCACCGACUCCGAAUUUCGGUACUAAAUUUUGAUGAUUUGCAGACGUUGUUCGUUCGUGUACUUUACCAUGAUGAAAAUUUUGAGUUUGCUGAAUAAUUGACGGUGACAGUUCGAUGAUUCACAAAAUUCAAAAUUUUCAAGUCAAUUAAAAAACCCAUUUGCCUGUGUAUAUCCCCCAUCCCACAUAGUCACACCUACGUACCUACUAUUGCCAGGAAUGUUUCAAUCCAAGCGACUGUCAGCUCAGAUGAUGAGAAUAAAGAUUACAUAACAAUACUUUUAUAACAUUACUUAAAUUCGUUGCAGAUUAUUUGAACAAAAACAGGAAGUUAUUUGCCAGCAAAAAAUAUAUGUUUACAUAUAUAGAUUUUUUUGAAACAUAA